rnacentral:rRNA from 1 species
GACGAACGCUGGCGGCGUGCUUAACACACGCAAGUCGAACGGAAAGGCCCUGCUUUUGUGGGGUGCUCGAGUGGCGAACGGGUGAGUAACACGUGAGUAACCUGCCCUUGACUUUGGGAUAACUUCAGGAAACUGGGGCUAAUACCGGAUAGGAGCUCCUGCUGCAUGGUGGGGGUUGGAAAGUUUCGGCGGUUGGGGAUGGACUCGCGGCUUAUCAGCUUGUUGGUGGGGUAGUGGCUUACCAAGGCUUUGACGGGUAGCCGGCCUGAGAGGGUGACCGGCCACAUUGGGACUGAGAUACGGCCCAGACUCCUACGGGAGGCAGCAGUGGGGAAUAUUGCACAAUGGGCGGAAGCCUGAUGCAGCAACGCCGCGUGCGGGAUGACGGCCUUCGGGUUGUAAACCGCUUUCGCCUGUGACGAAGCGUGAGUGACGGUAAUGGGUAAAGAAGCACCGGCUAACUACGUGC